rnacentral:tRNA from 1 species
GUAGAUAUAGUUUAACAAAAACGUUAGAUUGUGAUUCUGAAAAUGAAGGUUAAAGCCCUCCUGUCCACC